rnacentral:lncRNA from 1 species
AUGAUCAAAUCUUGUGAGGUAUUUCCUGUCCUUUUUCAGGUGCAGCAAUCUUUACCAAAGACCUACGCUAAAACAAGUUCAAGCAAGCUGGAUCUAUCUCCAAUACAAAGAACAGGAGAGCCUUUGGUCGCAGAAAUUUGCGACAGAAACCGGAUGGGGUCUCAGCUCAGCUCAAGAUGUUCACCCAGAACCGGAAACUCUGCGCAAUCAGCAAAGGUGGGCGGCUCCGGAGAGCGGCCAGCUGCGAUGAUUUCCCUCAUCUUCUUCAUGUGGUUAUAAGGAGCUGGAGAUCACUUCACCUUGCCGGAAGAUUACUCAACUUGGGAAUUCUCACCACGAACCUUUCCUGCAAUAACCUGGUUUUUCAUCUCCAAGCCUGAUCUCCCUCCUCACCCGGACCGACCCGCUCUCCCACCGCUCACCUCCCUUGGAUUCUGGAUUCACGCUGACGUUGCUCACCCCAGACCUGGCUACCCUCCCAAGCUCUGGAUUUCAGCCCCCACAGUAAGAUCCACUACUAACCGAGUCCUGCAAUUCUAUUCCCCGCUGCCCAACACUGACAGUGUUUGUCUCAACAGACCCAGCCCCGGAGCUGUGCUCAACAUCACCGCCACGUCUGGCGGUGCACCUUUAGUUCUCCUUAAAAUAAAACAUUUAUUUUUUUCCUACCUACGUCUCCUAGUGUGAAUUCUGCAUGUCUUGGGUCAGGAAACUUCCCUCAGUCAUGACACUCAAACCAGCCUUAUUAAAUUGAAUUGGUCCUUUACUUUGGGCAUCCUGCAAAUUUGAGCUGAAUCAAUAUCCGAAGGUCAGAGCAGUCAAAAAAAUAAAUAAAUAGAGGAAAUUGGUACUAGCCCUGAGAAUUGGUGGAUCUUUACUAAGAAUGUUCUGGGUCACAAUGGAUCUGUUUGAACCACUGAGAGGACUGAGCCAUCCUGUUUUUCU